rnacentral:sRNA from 1 species
AACAGCAAAAUGAUAACAGGAUGAACAACAGUAAACGAAAUCAAGAACAAAUGCUGAAUGCUGAAUACUGAAUAGACAAAGAGAAAUCCGGAUUACGAAGGUCUAGAACACAGUGUCUGCGGAAUAAAACUAGAUAAAAACUUGUUUUCGAAAAUGUGAAGUACAUGCUACUUAUAGCCAAAUAUUUCGAAACCCUAAUACUUAAAACGACGCAGUAUUGGGACGGAUUAAGAACUGUACUCGACCCAUGUGGUCGAGUGGGAGGUCGAGUGAAUAACUGGAGUCUUCUUUUCUUCCUUGUGCUCGAGUGUCUGGUUGAGUGCGGAACGAAGAAGACUCUGAAGCUUGCCAUGGAGUAUGUAGUCGAGUGGUGGUGAUGGUGAUACUCGACUUCCUGGUAGAGUGAUGUGGUCGAGUGGUAAUCAGGUAAUGGAGGUGAAGACAUUCGACCACGGGGUCGAGUGAUGUGAUCGAGUGAUGGUCAAGUGAUGGGGAUGAAGACACUCGACCUAGGGGUCGAGUGAUGUGAUGAAAUCGAGAAGUCCUCUACUCGACCAGGUGAUCGAGUGGUCUCUUGAGAUCUUGAAGCUCAUACUCGACCACGGGGUCGAGUGGUUUGACAUGAUCAGGUCCGCUUCUUCCAGUUAGCUCGUCAACAGCUCCAAAUCACCUGAAAUCAACACAAAUAUGCAACAUGCAUGCAAACCUAUCCUAAACAUGUAAAGUGAUGACAAAUGAUGAGAAAUGGUAUAAAACAGUGAUGAUAUGAUGCUAAAGUGAUGACAAAUGGAUUCUCAAAACAUGCAAAAUACACACUUAUCAACUCCCCCAAACUUAGUCUUUCCUUGCCCUCAAGCAAACAAUCAAGAACAAGUUGGAGGUGAGGUUUGAAAGCGGGGACUCAGAGCCAAAGCACCAGAUAAACCAGAUGAAAUCAAUGUCCAAGUUGAAAGUUCUAAGCCGCAAUAUGAUCGAAUUCUACUUAAAAACGUUAGUCAUGCCUCAUUAUCAAUCAAUCCGACUCAUAUGCUCGACCUACACAUGUUUUCAAAUCUACCAAUCCCUUUAACAUUCAUUAGUUCUGGAACGUGAAUCAAGCAAUGUAUCAUCAAUGAACUCAUUUGGCUAAGGUAAAAGGUCAAGAGACAAAGAUGGUCCCUUACAGAAUAGGCUUCAGUAAUAGGGGAUCUCUCAAAAAAUAAUUUAGCUUUAGUAGAAUGCUAAAGGUAAGUCCCAAGCUAUGCAUACAGAGAUAAGAUCCCAUCUACCAAGAGUAUAUCAAAUGAAGCUCUAAUGGUAAUCCCAUCUCCAAUCCCAAUAUAAGAACUUAACUCUACCCUUUGCAUUCAUGAAUCUUUUAAGCCCUUUUUCUAAUCAUUCUUUUCUUUUA